GACGUAGGGGGCAAGCGUUGGUUCGGAAUUAUUGGGCGUAAAGCGCUCGUAGGCGGGACAGGAAGUUCGUGUUGAAAGACCUCGGCUCAACUGAGGGACCGGCUCGAAUACUCUUGUUCUUGAGGCAAUCAGAGGGUGAUGGAAUUCCCGGUGUAGCGGUCGAAAUGCGCAGAUAUCAGGAGGAACACCGAUGCGAAGGCAGUGGCGUGGGCCGGCGACUGGACGCUGAGGAGCGAAAGCGUGGGGAGCGAACAGG
rnacentral:rRNA from 1 species